rnacentral:rRNA from 1 species
AAUAGAUACCCGGGUAGUCCACGCCGUAAACGAUGUCGACUUGGAGGUUGUGCCCUUGAGGCGUGGCUUCCGGAGCUAACGCGUUAAGUCGACCGCCUGGGGAGUACGGCCGCAAGGUUAAAACUCAAAUGAAUUGACGGGGGCCCGCACAAGCGGUGGAGCAUGUGGUUUAAUUCGAUGCAACGCGAAGAACCUUACCUACUCUUGACAUCCAGAGAACUUAGCAGAGAUGCUUUGGUGCCUUCGGGAACUCUGAGACAGGUGCUGCAUGGCUGUCGUCAGCUCGUGUUGUGAAAUGUUGGGUUAAGUCCCGCAACGAGCGCAACCCUUAUCCUUUGUUGCCAGCGGUUCGGCCGGGAACUCAAAGGAGACUGCCAGUGAUAAACUGGAGGAAGGUGGGGAUGACGUCAAGUCAUCAUGGCCCUUACGAGUAGGGCUACACACGUGCUACAAUGGCAUAUACAAAGAGAAGCGACCUCGCGAGAGCAAGCGGACCUCAUAAAGUAUGUCGUAGUCCGGA